rnacentral:rRNA from 1 species
UAGGGAAUAUUGGUCAAUGGUGGGAACACUGAACCAGCCAUUCCGCGUGCAGGAAGAAGGGUCUAUGACUUGUAAACUGCUUUAGCAAGGGAAGAAAAAGCUCAUGCGUGAGUAAUUGACGGUACCUUGAGAAUAAGCACCGGCUAACUACGUGC